rnacentral:rRNA from 1 species
UACGAAGGGGGGCUAGCGUUGCUCGGAAUCACUGGGCUUAAAGGGCGCGUAGGCGGGCUCGCCAGUCUGUGGUGAAAGCCCCCGGCUUAACCGGGGAAGUGCCGUGGAUACUGCGAGCCUCGAGGAGGGUAGGGGGCAUCUGGAACAGCCGGUGGAGCGGUGAAAUGCGUUGAUAUCGGCUGGAACUCCGGUGGCGAAGGCGAGGUGCUGGACCCUUUCUGACGCUGAGGCGCGAAAGCCAGGGGAGCAAACGGG